rnacentral:lncRNA from 1 species
CCUGUGUCUACACACGUUUUACACUUAUAAAACCAGUCCUGUGUGCAUAUUACAAUAACAAAAUAACUGGAAAAAAGUAUAUUCAGUUAUUUCUAGCAGUUUCCUUUUGUGGUUGCAUUAUGAAUAGUUAUUGUCUUCCCACUGCUUUACUAAAUUCCCUAAAAUGUUCUCCACGACAUAUAUUACUUUAAUAGUCAGAAGUAAAGAUUAUUUUUAAAAGCUACAGAUUUUCAUAAGUCCUACAAAGCUACAGUUAUAUCCUGAAGCUUAACUAUGAGGUUUCCUAGAAUGUACUUGGAGUGUACUUUGUUGCUCAGCACCCCCAAAUACUUCUCGGCAGAGUUUUGGUUAUUUCAACUAUUGUUGCCUCAUAGUAAUAAGAUUAGCCCUUGGAGACUUGACUGAAGUUGGUAAAGGGUGUCUUUAUUAUCCUUUUCCUUUUUUUUUUUCCCCAGGAAGAUCUCUCUGUCUCUGCAUUUUUUCCUUUUAUCCACACAUCGACGACUUAUAUCCUUCUUUAUCAGAAGAGGAAAAAUAGUUAUCCUUUGUUACAGGGUUGCUACAUGCAAAAAGCCACACUACGUUAACUGUAGCUCCCCUUUCACUGUUUAACGGUCUGAUCCAGUAGACACUGUAAUUUCAGUUUCAUAGAAGAGAAUGUGGAGUCCUAGAGGUUAAUGUCUAGGGCCAAGGCCAUAAUCCUGGUAAGAGACUGGACAGGACUAGACCUCAGCUGGAGUCUCCAGAUAAGGUCACCAACACCUCCUCCUACCUCUGGGUGUGCCUGGAUGCCUUAGAUCAAGAGGGAGUCGAGUUCCCCGUGAUACACAGCAGGUCCUCAUCAGUCCUCUGCUUUACACAUCGUGUCAAGUGUGUAUACAGGCAUCAUUAAGCACCCGCCGCACCGGCCCAAGCUCGCCGAUCUGCGCAUGCCCCGUUGACGCGUCAGUGGUCCUGUCCGGUGUGAACCGGCUCAGACCGGACUCGAUGCCGCCGAAGCCAAGUUCCCGGAAAACCGCUCAGGCCAACGUCUUACUCUUUAGGCUCCGUGUUCCCGCUUGGAGGACGUGUCCGUCUUUAAACGACCUUGAAGGCAGGUGAAAUGGACUUAACCCAGGGUUUGGGGUUAUCAACAGAAGUGUUUCGUGUA